rnacentral:ncRNA from 1 species
GAGGGUAGGUCCCUCGCAGCCGGUCUGCGGAGGCAGGCUGCAAACCACCGUAAGCGGCUGUGGCCAAAAGCCAUGGUCGUGAGCGUUACGGAAAAGGCGAGGCUUGACCUUGUCAGGU